CCCCCACAGGGCCAGGAGGGAAGAGGUGGAACUUGGUCCCAUUUGGAGCCCCCAUCCUCGGACCCCCCCAGAAGUUAUUAGCGACGCCAGAAAUGGAGGUGCCUGAUUCAGCAGCUCUGUGGAGCUCACGCGUCCUCCUGGAGCAUCGUUUCCCGGCCGCUUCAUCCCGCUCCAGCCUCUGAUCACCGGCCUUUGCAGAUAUGCACUGGGAUCUCAGCGCAGGCACCACACAGGAUCUUUACACUGGAAUACAAUCUCUAUCGUCGGGCUCUCUGAAUGGGAGGAGGUGAUAAGGCAGCUCUUACCCCAUCUAUAAGAUUUCUAAAAAAGAAGCUGGAGAUAAAAGGGAGUCUUCCUCUGACACGUGGACCAGAAGAGCUGUCCUCCGCCACAUUUGCCCUGGGAGGCAGGCAGACAGUGCCGCCCGGCAGCCCAGAGCCCUGUGUCCCUCUGCUCUCCUGCGGAGUGUCGCCUGCCAGGACAGGCUACGUGAAAAAUGGCCCUGACUUGUUAAGAUGGACACAUUCUCCAAAAGGAAUGUAAAGUUAAUGUGGACAAUGAACGUAUAUCCCACCAGGAGUGUUUUCAUUUGGAGGGAAUUCUCCAGUCCUUGAGACCAAAGAUGGUCAACAUGGGGCAGCUGGGAAGGAGGCCUCUUCCAUUGUCAGCCACAAGUGAUUGAGGUUGGGCCAAAAGGAAACUCACAUUAUCAGGCCUCCUUUCCUUGCACAUUCCUAAAAUCGUAAACAUACAGUAGUUUAUUUCCUUUACAGAUACUCUAAUCACAAAGAGAUAUCUCAAAAUACGGGACAUUCUGCUUGUCUCCUCCAACUUGGCUUUAGAUGGCCAAUUGCUCUUACUUUCAGUUUUACUCAUUAUCAAAUAUAUGGCUCCUUAGGAAUCUCAGCCCCUGAAUGUGGGAUUUGUCAGCCCCUGUAUUGUUUACUCUCGUGCAAUUAGCAAUAUCAAAGCAGGGAUUCUGCUUCUUCCUGUAUGCUCUCAUUUUAUACUGAACUCGGUUUAUGGGAAGUUUGGGUAAACAAAGCUCUUAGGAGUAAUUACUCUUGAAUUAGGCUAUGGUUUCACAUCUGUGAGUCAAGGCCUCUUUUCCAACCUCUGGGAGGAAUUAAGUAGGUCAGGCCUCUGUUUACAAAGCAAGGCCCAACGCUGACUGCCCCAGGCGUUUUAUAGGUUGAUGUUAAUACUGGACGUCUAGAAAAAGCUGCUCAGUAUUCCGUGUUGGCCUUGCUGCUGAUGAAAGGGCAAGACUGUCCACCCAGUGAUCCAGGAGCUUCUUCUCCAUGUUCAUCCUGUGGGAGGAUCCACAACCCUCUACCAUCACCGAGAAGCUUCAUCCUGACACAGAGAGAGGGUCACGACAUCACUGUCUGGGUCAAAAGGUCAUGAUGCUGUCCUUCGCAUCAUCAGGCUAUUUCAAAUCAUGAAACUGAAGUGAGAGCCUCUCCACUGACAGGAGGUUGUGCCUGAUUUAUUUUCCCAAUUAUUAUUAUGAAAAUGUUCAAACAUAUAAAAAAGGUUAAGAAAGAAUAUGAUGAACAUUCAGAGACCCACCACUUGGGUUCAACAAUUGUUAACGUUUUGCUGAGCCAUUUAAAAGUGAGUUGCACUUUAAAUAUUUCUGCAUGUAACUCCCAAGAAUAAGGAAAUUCUCUAAUACAACCAAAGUAACAUUAUGACAAAGAAUUUACUUCAAAUCAUCAAAGUUGUUGGAAUAAAGUUGGUCAUCGUAUUUCCUUUUUGUCCUUU
rnacentral:lncRNA from 1 species